AAUAUUGGACAAUGGGCGCAAGCCUGAUCCAGCCAUGCCGCGUGAGUGAUGAAGGCCNNNGGGUUNUAAAGCUCUUUCAGUGGNGACNAUAAUGACGGUACCCACAGAAGAAGCCCCGGCUAACUUCGUGCCAGCAGCCGCGGUAAUACGAAGGGGGCUAGCGUUGUUCGGAUUUACUGGGCGUAAAGCGCACGUAGGCGGAUUGGUCAGUUAGGGGUGAAAUCCCGGAGCUCAACUCCGGAACUGCCUUUAAUACUGCCAGUCUAGAGACCGAGAGAGGUGAGUGGAACUCCUAGUGUAGAGGUGGAAUUCGUAGAUAUUAGGAAGAACACCAGUGGCGAAGGCGACCACCUGGGCUAAUACUGACACUGAGGUGCGAAAGCGUGGGGAGCAAACA
rnacentral:rRNA from 1 species